UGAAAAGAACUUUGAAAAGAGAGUUAAAAAGUGCGUGAAACCGUUAGUGGGGAAACGGAUGCAGUUAGCAAUGCUUCGGCGAGAUUCAGGCGGUCACCUGGCUGGACGGGCAGUGUGUGGAUCCGAAUGGACUGUCGCUGCUUGGCUUGGUCUUGUGCUCGUCGCACUUCUCGUCGGAGCGCGUCAACAGCUGCUUGACUUGAGCGAUACGGUGCUCGGGAAGGUAGGCGUGUGUCUUCGGACUUGCGUUGUUAUAGCCCGUGGCAUUCCCAGUUCGAGUUUGGCAGAGGCGAACGGUGCAUGCUCUCUAGGGGGCUGGCGUCCUUCUCUUGAUCGAUUGUCGAGCAUGGCGGACUGCUUGCAGUGCGUCUGAACUGCUGUUGGUCAUUCGGGAGGAUCGCGCACACUAUGCACCUAGGUUGUUGGCGGCCAUAUGGCUUCAUCUGACCCGUCUUGAAACACGGACCAAGGAGUCUAACAUGUGCGCAAGUCUUGGGGUGACCGAAACCCAAAGGCGCAAUGAAAGUAAAGGCUGCCUGGCAGCCGAGGUGAGAUCUUCGUUCCGCGUGUCCGAAGCGCAUCAUCGACCGACCUAUUCUACUCCUAGAAAGGUUUGAGUAAGAGCGCAUCUGUUGG
rnacentral:rRNA from 1 species